UCUUUCUUUCUGAGAUGUUUCUGGUCUCCCCCUUAUUUCUCAUCACUACUGCCUUUCCUUUCCUUUCCUGCCUCCUCCACGACUGAUGAUCUAAUAGUGGGCCAGGAGAGAAGUCUUUUCUGGCAAUUAUCCAUGCUUUCCAAACAGGAUCAGUCUCAGCAAAAUGGCUUGAGCUAUCCUGCACAUCAACCCAUUGCAGGUUUUGGGUUAUGUUUUCAAAGUUCCCUGCAACCAAAAGCCAAGUGAUGGAAGACCUUGUACAAAACAAGAAAACCUGUAUUUAUUUUUCAAAAUGUUCCAGUCUUUGUCGGCCAGAGAAAGGUGAUACCCCCAGACUCUUUGAGCUAAUGACCGUGUUUACCUUUAAGCCAUAACAGAGCAAUUCUGGUGCAAGCCUGAAGUUUUCUUGAAGAUAUAGUUGUGAUAAAUGCUUCAUUGGCAAUGACAGAAAUGUUAUUCUCAACCACCAGAGCCAUGGAGGUGCUGAAAGGAAUAGCAUGAACUCAAUUACAAUCUAUGUGGGGUGGCUGAUUCCUAUCUGGCGGAAGUGGCUAAAGAAUAAUUUUACAUAGAAAUUUGAUCCCUCGACAUCAAAAACCUAUAUUCAGAAAGCUGCAGCUAGCUGCAAAAAGCUUAAAUCAAAGAUUGGCAUCUCUGCUGACGUGAACAGACCUGCCUGCAAGGUGUUGACAACGGGCAGUAAUUAACCUCCUAAAAAAGCAGCAGGCAAAGAUUUGUACUUUCUAUCAGCCUCUGGUAGUUGCUUUACACCAUGUAGAAAUAAGUUUGUAAAUACUUGCCACUAAUCUAUGUGCCCCCAUGGUGCUCCUAUAAUGUAUGAGAAUAGUCAGUUACAUUCAUAUUUUUGUGUGUAUAUACCAUGUAUCAAUACCAUAGGAAUCUCCAGGGUCAAUCAUGAUUUCUGAUGGCAGGAGUCACCAAACUUUUUAGAUGCAAACUGGACAAACUGUUGUGGGCCACAGACACACACACGCAUGCAGGCAGGCAGACAGACAGACAGACCGACCGACCACAGCCUAUUGUCUUGGCCACAAUAGAAUGAUCAUUUCAGUCAUAAUUUCAGUCAAGGUAGGCAACCCUGCCAACACCAACAAAGACUUUAGUGGCUCCAUGAAGGUGCCACAUUGGUUACCCCUCUCCUAUGCAAUGCACCCAGUGUACAUUAACUUUCGUGUGUUAUGAGAAACAGUGUGUGCACACCCGGUAUUAGGCAAAUGUCUGCUGUUUUUAUAACCUGUGACGUCAGCCUUAUAAAAACUAGUGCUACUUUGUAUUUAAGGCAUCAGUUUAGGACUCUGGAGAGCUGGUGGGGAAGUGAAGGAGAUGACAGGAUCACAAAUGGAAGCAGGGAAAAGCCACAGCUGCCCUGUUUAUUCGCUGCUUUGGGGGAUUGAAAAACAUAACCAUGUCCUGUGGCAACCAUACUUGCAGGGUGGAUUUAUCAUAAGCACUUCUCUGUGACUAU